UCAGAUACAUACAUUCCCAGCUGUGAUGAGGACGGCUUUUACAGGAGACUGCAGUGUGACAAGAGCAGAGGGGAGUGCUGGUGUGUGGACCAGCAUGGAGGAGAGUUAAUGGGCUCCAGAAUCCAUGGCAACCCCGACUGUGACGAGGUGGUCAUGUAUUCUGGCGAUUUUGGCAGCGGGCUCGGAUGGGAAGAUGAGGAGGAAAAGGAGGCGGAGGAGAACGGCGAGGAGGCUGAGGAGGAGGAAGGGGAGGUGGGGGAGGUAGAUGACGGUGGAUACAUUUGGUAAAACGAAACGUGAUUCUCACCUUGUUCGACGUAGCUUUCUGUGGCCCAUUUCUACAGAGGCAGCUCUAUCUUCUGACAUUAAACGGUGGACACUGGAGGGUCUGUCAUCUUUAUACUGCACUCCAAACAGCAUUGACUUGGGGAGGACGGGGGGGAGGGCGGCUUGGUUAGUGUUAGCUGUAGUGAGAUUACGGUAUUGGGAAAGAGUUUUCGAUUAUUGGGCUUAUGGAUACUUGUGAAACAUCAUAUUUUUGUUGUAAGUGCAAGAGUUUUCUCCUGAAUCAGUCUCUAGCAUCUGCAAACACGAGUUCAGAAUUAGGCGCUUGAUAGGUGUGAUGUGAUGCAUUCUUAUGCAAGUCUAAUAAGUACAUACUUUCGUCACUAUACAUUCAGAAAUGAUACCUGUUAAGUCUAAAGCUACUUUUUAAAGUAUGUAUAUAAAAAUAGACAGGCUUCAGGGUCUAACCUGUUUCAUUAGAUCUUCUGUCGACCAUCAACAACUGCUUUCUUUGGGAACUGAGACUGCUGCUAAUGUUUUUGCUGUUAGAGUUUCUGUGAAUUCUUUUAAAUGUCCUCCAAAUGAUUUAGCAUAUAUGAACACAGAUCACUAUAAAUACAAAGAGACACAAAGUCCAAAAACAUCAAGAGCUAAGUUAGCUUAGCU